rnacentral:rRNA from 1 species
GACGAACGCUGGCGGCGUGCUUAACACAUGCAAGUCGAACGGUGUAGCUCCAGCUUGCUGGAGUGGAUCAGUGGCGAACGGGUGAGUAACACGUGAGCAACCUGCCCCUGACUCUGGAAUAAGCGCUGGAAACGGCGUCUAAUACUGGAUACGAGAAGGGUCCGCAUGGGCACUUUCUGGAAAGUUUUUCGGUUGGGGAUGUGCUCGCGGCCUAUCAGCUUGUUGGUGAGGUAAUGGCUCACCAGGCCGACGACGGGUAGCCGGCCUGGGAGGUCGACCGGCCACCCUGGGACUGAGACACGGCCCAGACUCCUACGGGAGGCAGCAGUGGGGAAUAUUGCACAAUGGGCGAAAGCCUGUUGCAGCGACGCCGCGUGAGGGAUGACGGCCUUCGGGUUGUAAACCUCUUUCAGCAGGGAAGAAGCGAAAGUGACGGUACCUGCAGAAGAAGCACCGGCUAACUACGUG